rnacentral:rRNA from 1 species
UACAGAGGGUGCGAGCGUUGUCCGGAAUCACUGGGCGUAAAGGGCGCGUAGGCGGGUCUUUAAGUCAGGGGUGAAAUCCUGGAGCUCAACUCCAGAACUGCCUUUGAUACUGAAGAUCUUGAGUUCGGGAGAGGUGAGUGGGACUGCGAGUGUAGAGGUGAAAUUCGUAGAUAUUAGGAAGAACACCGGUGGCGAAGGCGGCCCACUGGUCCGGUACUGACGCUGAGGUGCGAAAGCGUGGGGAGCAAACAGG